UACAACUCUGAGCGGUGGAUCACUCGGCUCGUGUGUCGAUGAAGAGCGCAGCCAACUGUGUGAAUUAAUGUGAACUGCAUAMUGCUUUGAGCAUCGACA
rnacentral:rRNA from 1 species